UGGGCGUGAAUGGUUUUAGCGUGCAAGAAGAGAGCGGAGUGAAAUUUGAUGAGUUGGCAUCAAUUAGGUAGAGAAAAGAGGAAGUUAGUUGGGGUGUUCUUCAUUUUGUGCGGAAGAAAAAGAGGAGGCAUGAAGGGUAGUUGGGAUAUAAAAGGAAGUUGGGACGUGGUGCGCUGAAAAUAAGAUAAGAAGGGAGAGGCGUUAGUUGGUUUUAGCAUGAAGAAAGAAAGAGAAAAGGGGUGUGAGCUUUGGUUAUUUGGAGAGUGAGAGGAGUUUAUUAGUUGGUGUGUGCUAACAAUAAGGAGGGAAUUAGGGCUUCUUAAGUGGCACCUCCUUUCUUGGCCCUUGAUCAAGAUGAGCUUGCUUCCUAUCCCUUGGAUCUUGGUAUCUCUAGGGUUUUCAUGAGUUGACAUCAUAAAUCUUGACCGUUGAGUGGAGCAUUGCUUCUUAAUUAUUAGAUUACUUUUUUAUUUAAUUAGUCUUUCAAUUAGUUGCUCUUAGCAUCUUGGUUCUUAAAUUUUGCUUUGGGUUUGAACUAAUUUGGGUCAUGAUUAGCUCAAUCUCUUAAUUUCCGACAAAAGAAGACAA
rnacentral:lncRNA from 1 species